rnacentral:rRNA from 1 species
GACGAACGCUGGCGGCGGGCUUAACACAUGCAAGUCGAACGGAAAGGCCCUGCUUGUGUGGGGUGCUCGAGUGGCGAACGGGUGAGUAACACGUGAGUAACCUGCCCUUGACUUUGGGAUAACUUCAGGAAACUGGGGCUAAUACCGGAUAGGAGCUCCUGCUGCAUGGUGGGGGUUGGAAAGUUUCGGCGGUUGGGGAUGGACUCGCGGCUUAUCAGCUUGUUGGUGGGGUAGUGGCUUACCAAGGCUUUGACGGGUAGCCGGCCUGAGAGGGUGACCGGCCACAUUGGGACUGAGAUACGGCCCAGACUCCUACGGGAGGCAGCAGUGGGGAAUAUUGCACAAUGGGCGGAAGCCUGAUGCAGCAACGCCGCGUGCGGGAUGACGGCCUUCGGGUUGUAAACCGCUUUCGCCUGUGACGAAGCGUGAGUGACGGUAAUGGGUAAAGAAGCACCGGCUAACUACGUG